CAAUCGAACGUGGAGAUAGCUGGUUCUCCCCGAAAUAGCUUUAGGGCUAGCCUCAGGGUAAAGAUUGCAGGCGGUAGAGCACUGAUCAGGAGAGGGACCUACCCGGUUACCAAACCCAGUCAAACUACGAAUGGCUGCAAUUAUACCUGGGAGUCAGACUACGACUUAUAAGGGCCGUGGUCAAAAGGGAAACAGCCCAGAUCAUCAGCUAAGGUCCCAAAUGCCGUGCUAAGUGGCGAAGGAUGUGGCGUUUCAUAAACAACCAGGAUGUUGGCUCAGAAGCAGCCACCAUUUAAAGAGUGCGUAAUAGCUCACUGGUCGAGAGACGCUGCGCCGAAAAUGUCCGGGGCUCAAGCACGGAACCGAAGCUAUGGCAUUGCGUAAGCAAUGGGUAGGGGAGCGUUCUUAUGGGGAAGAAGCAUUACCGUAAGGAGAUGUGGACACAUAAGAAGUGAGAAUGCCGGUAUGAGUAUCGAAAAGAAAGGUGAGAAUCCUUUCCACCGAAAGCCCGAGGGUUCCUGAGCAACGAUCGUCGUCUCAGGGUAAGUCGGGACCUAAGCCGAGGCACAGACGCAUAGGCGAUGGACAACAGGUUGAAAUUCCUGUACCGGAUGGAGUCAUUUGAGCAAUGGAGUGACGCAGGAGGGCACAUGAUCGCGCGACUGGAAGAGCGCGUCCAAGUGCGUAUGUUGAAUCGGAGGCAAAUCCCCGAUUCUGAAAGCAGAGACAUGAUGGGGAGUUAUAAGCGAUUAUGACGAACUCAUGGAUCCCACACUGCCAAGAAAAACUUCUAGCGAGACGAAAUCCGCCCGUACCGUAAACCGACACAGGUAGGCGGGGAGAGAAUCCUAAGGUGCGCGGGAAAACCCUCGUUAAGGAACUCGGCAAAUUGCAUCCGUAACUUCGGGAGAAGGAUGGCCCUGAGUAGGCGAAGUGCAGAAACGCACGGAACAGAAAAGGGUGGCAGAAAAGAGGCCCAAGCAACUGUUUACCAAAAACACAGGUGCCUGCGAAAGCGAAAGCUGAAGUAUAGGUGCUGACGCCUGCCCGGUGCUGGAAGGUUAAGGAGAGAGGUUAGCGCAAGCGAAGCUUUGAACUGAAGCCCCAGUGAACGGCGGCCGUAACUAUAACGGUCCUAAGGUAGCGAAAUUCCUUGUCGGGUAAGUUCCGACCCGCAUGAAAGGCGUAAUGAUUUGGGCGCUGUCUCAACGAGGGGCCCGGUGAAAUUGAAAUACCUGUGAAGAUGCAGGUUACCCGCGACUGGACAGAAAGACCCCAUGGAGCUUUACUGCAGCUUGAGAUUGAAUCCCGGUGGCAGACGCACAGGAUAGGUGGGAGGCUUUGAGAUAGUGACUUUGGUUGCUAUGGAGCCGACGUUGGGAUACCACCCUUCUGUUGCUGGGAUUCUAACGCGAAGAUUAACAACCUUGCGGACCAUCUCAGGUAGGCGGUUUGACUGGGGCGGUCGCCUCCGAAAGAGUAACGGAGGCGCCCAAAGGUUCCCUCAGGCCGGACAGAAACCGGCCGAAGAGUGCAAAGGCAGAAGGGAGCUUGACUGCGAGACAGACAAGUCGAGCAGAGACGAAAGUCGGGCUUAGUGAUCCGGUGGUACUGCGUGGAAAGGCCAUCGCUCAACGGAUAAAAGCUACCCUGGGGAUAACAGGCUAAUCUCUCCCAAGAGUUCAUAUCGACGGGGAGGUUUGGCACCUCGAUGUCGGCUCAUCACAUCCUGGAGCUGGAGUAGGUUCCAAGGGUUGGGCUGUUCGCCCAUUAAAGUGGUACGCGAGCUGGGUUCAAAACGUCGUGAGACAGUUUGGUUCAUAUCCAUCGCGGGCGCAAGAAGUUUGAGGGAGGCUGCUCCUAGUACGAGAGGACCGGAGUGGACGGAUCAACGGUGUACCAGUUGUCACGCCAGUGGCACGGCUGGAAAGCCGCAUCCGGAAAGGAUAAACGCUGAAAGCAUCUAAGCGUGAAGCCCGUCCCAAGAUGAGACUUCUCAUCAGCAAUGAGUAAGACCCCUUAAAGACGAUGAGGUUGAUAGGCUGUGAGUGGAAGAGCCGCGAGGCUUGGAGCGACGCAGUACUAAUAGGUCGAGGUCUUAACUUA
rnacentral:rRNA from 1 species